GUGGGGAAUAUUGGACAAUGGGCGAAAGCCUGAUCCAGCCAUGCCGCGUGUGUGAAGAAGGUCUUCGGAUUGUAAAGCACUUUAAGUUGGGAGGAAGGGCAGUAAGUUAAUACCUUGCUGUUUUGACGUUACCGACAGAAUAAGCACCGGCUAACUUCGUGCCAGCAGCCGCGGUAAUACGAAGGGUGCAAGCGUUCAUCGGAAUUACUGGGUGUAAAGCGCGCGUAGGUGGUUUUGUAAGUUGGAGGUGAAAUCCCCGGGCUCAACCUGGGAACUGCCUCCAAAACUGCAUGACUAGAGUACGGUAGAGGGUAGUGGAAUUUCCUGUGUAGCGGUGAAAUGCGUAGAUAUAGGAAGGAACACCAGUGGCGAAGGCGACUACCUGGACUGAUACUGACACUGAGGUGCGAAAGCGUGGGGAGCAAACAGGAUUAGAUACCCCUGUAGUCC
rnacentral:rRNA from 1 species